rnacentral:rRNA from 1 species
UACGAAGGGUGCAAGCGUUACUCGGAAUUACUGGGCGUAAAGCGUGCGUAGGUGGUUUUUUAAGUCCGUUGCGAAAGCCCUGGGCUCAACCUGGGAAUGGCAGUGGAUACUGGAAAGCUAGAGUGCGGUAGAGGGUAGUGGAAUUCCUGGUGUAGCGGUGAAAUGCGCAGAUAUCAGGAGGAACACCAAUUGCGAAGGCAGCUCGCUGGGACGUUACUGACGCUGAGACGCGAAAGCGUGGGGAGCAAACAGG